UAUAGAGCACACUCUGACUUUGCAUAGACUUAAAUUUCAGUUAAAACGAGACAGAUUUAUGCCAUCGGUAUAACGCUGUCUCGUUUUAACAGUGUUUUAAGUCUGAGCGAAGUCAAAGGGCGCUCUAUAGAUCACAACCUAAGUAGAGUUAAAAAGUUUCAUAGUCCCUGUGUUGGGGAAAAUACGCUGAGAGAUUUUCAGCUUUUAUAAAAUAUCGUAAGUCACUAAUCACAAUGUAAAGA